rnacentral:rRNA from 1 species
UGCAUCGAUGAAGAACGCAGCGAAACGCGAUAGGUAAUGUGAAUUGCAGAAUUCCGUGAAUCAUCGAAUCUUUGAACGCACCUUGCGCUCCAUGGCAUUCCGUGGAGCAUGCCUGUUUGAGUGCCGCGAAAUCUCCCACCCCUAGCGGUUGCCGCAAGGCGCCGCCGGGCGGCGGGGUUGGUUGGGUGCCGCUGCCUGGGCUUUGGCCCAGGCUCGCCCGAAAUGCAUGAGCGCUUAGCACUCGCACCGUCUCGAGGGAAGGCGGCGGAGCUGGCAUCUGCGCAUGGCAUGAUACGUCAUUUGCUGUGUGGCAGCCCAGCGACCCGAGAGUGUGUGUGCGCUACUACACGCCCUUUCAUUUCUGGUCUCAAAUCAGGUAGGAUCACCCGCUGAACUUAAGCAUAUCAAUAAGCGGAGGA